rfam:Eubacterium sp. An11 An11_contig_9, whole genome shotgun sequence.
GCUUCCUUGGCUCAGUUGGUAGAGCGACGCAUUCGUAAUGCGUAGGUCGCCGGUUCAAGUCCGGCAGGGAGCU